CACGUAGGGGGCGAGCGUUGUCCGGAUUCAUUGGGCGUAAAGAGCUCGUAGGCGGCUCAGCAAGUCGGGUGUGAAACCUCCAGGCUCAACCUGGAGACGCCACUCGAUACUGCUGUGGCUAGAGUCCAGUAGGGGAGCGUGGAAUUCCUGGUGUAGCGGUGAAAUGCGCAGAUAUCGGGAGGAACACCGGUGGCGAAGGCGGUUCUCUGGGCCUGACCUGACGCUGAGGAGCGAAAGCGUGGGGAGCGAACAGG
rnacentral:rRNA from 1 species